rnacentral:rRNA from 1 species
CCUACGGGUGGCAGCAGUCGAGAAUCAUUCACAAUGGGGGAAACCCUGAUGGUGCGACGCCGCGUGGGGGAAUGAAGGUCUUCGGAUGGUAAACCCCUGUCAUGUGGGAGCAAAUUAAAAAGAUAGUACCACAAGAGGAAGAGACGGCUAACUCUGUGCCAGCAGCCGCGGUAAUACAGAGGUCUCAAGCGUUGUUCGGAAUCACUGGGCGUAAAGCGUGCGUAGGCGGUUUCGUAAGUCGUGUGUGAAAGGCGCGGGCUCAACCCGCGGACGGCACAUGAUACUGCGAGACUAGAGUAAUGGAGGGGGAACCGGAAUUCUCGGUGUAGCAGUGAAAUGCGUAGAUAUCGAGAGGAACACUCGUGGCGAAGGCGGGUUCCUGGACAUUAACUGACGCUGAGGCACGAAGGCCAGGGGAGCGAAAGGGAUUAGAUACCCUAGUAGUC